UUAUCUUAGCGGCGGACGGGUGAGUAAUGCUUAGGAAUCUGCCUAUUAGUGGGGGACAACAUUCCGAAAGGAAUGCUAAUACCGCAUACGUCCUACGGGAGAAAGCAGGGGAUCUUCGGACCUUGCGCUAAUAGAUGAGCCUAAGUCGGAUUAGCUAGUUGGUGGGGUAAAGGCCUACCAAGGCGACGAUCUGUAGCGGGUCUGAGAGGAUGAUCCGCCACACUGGGACUGAGACACGGCCCAGACUCCUACGGGAGGCAGCAGUGGGGAAUAUUGGACAAUGGGGGGAACCCUGAUCCAGCCAUGCCGCGUGUGUGAAGAAGGCCUUAUGGUUGUAAAGCACUUUAAGCGAGGAGGAGGCUACUGAGACUAAUACUCUUGGAUAGUGGACGUUACUCGCAGAAUAAGCACCGGCUAACUCUGUGCCAGCAGCCGCGGUAAUACAGAGGGUGCGAGCGUUAAUCGGAUUUACUGGGCGUAAAGCGUGCGUAGGCGGCUUUUUAAGUCGGAUGUGAAAUCCCCGAGCUUAACUUGGGAAUUGCAUUCGAUACUGGGAAGCUAGAGUAUGGGAGAGGAUGGUAGAAUUCCAGGUGUAGCGGUGAAAUGCGUAGAGAUCUGGAGGAAUACCGAUGGCGAAGGCAGCCAUCUGGCCUAAUACUGACGCUGAGGUACGAAAGCAUGGGGAGCAAACAGGAUUAGAUACCCUGGUAGUCCAUGCCGUAAACGAUGUCUACUAGCCGUUGGGGCCUUUGAGGCUUUAGUGGCGCAGCUAACGCGAUAAGUAGACCGCCUGGGGAGUACGGUCGCAAGACUAAAACUCAAAUGAAUUGACGGGGGCCCG
rnacentral:rRNA from 1 species